CAGGUCUUGCUGGCUCUCAAGUCCUGUCCCCCUGCAGGUUACUUGCACAACCCACCAGGUUAAUCCUCGCAACUGCCACUUGAUUGUACCUCCCACCUGCUCAAGGUCUUCCCAGGGUUUCCUGCAGUUUGCAGAAAGAGGGGUCAAUUCCAGAGGUUGAAAAUUGUAUUGUGGCUACGUAAAUAUUCCCAGCAGAACCAAGAAGAGCAAGGAACUGUCUUGGGACUAGAAUCAUCUGACUGUGAACACAGAUCUCAGCAUUACUCAAGCUGUCUAGCAAGUGGGAGAGAGUUAGAUGGAUCCAACUUGGCCAUAGUUCUCC